CCGGGCGGUUUGGAGGAUUAUGGGAAACCGUCGGGCGGCACACUUAAACCGCCGGGCGGUGGCUCGCUGGGCCUGGGCCUGUUUUCUGUUCCUCUCCUCACCUUUAAAUACCCCUAUUUCGAGUUCAGAAUUAUUCUUUUGACAGGGGAGAACGACCAUACCUAAUUUUGCUCUCUGGAGAAGGAUCUCUUGGAUGCUUAGGCUCCUUUUCAUCUUUUCUAGGGUUUGCUCUUCCAUUCUUCUUCCAUUUUUCAUCUAGUUUCACCAUGUCUAUGGUGAACUAAACCCUAUUGUUGUUUGGGAAACAAUGUAAUCUUUUGAUCCUCUCUUUUAUUGAAACUCUUGAUUAUUUAUAUGGUCUCCAUAUGUUUUGAUUGAUAAUUGUUGGGUUAUCAUCUGUGCUUAAGGCCUUUAUCGUUUAACUCAUUCGGUAACUGAUGUUUGUCUUUAUUUAUAUGGGGACGUACAGUAAUGACAUGAACUGGUGAUUAAUUUCUUGAUUUUGCAAUACCACCUAGGGAUAGGGGUAGGACGAUCAAUUGCGCUAACUUCUGUUUAUAAUGCGGUAUUAAUUACUAGGGGAGGUUAGGGAUAGCAAGCCAGUAGUUAAUAUUAGGCUUUUUUCGCCGAGGGAUCGGGUUAAGGGGAGGCUAUGAAAGUCGCAUAACAAUUAAUUAAUUAAACUAAUAUUCAAGAGGAGUAGGUAAGAGAGAGCGGAUUAGAUGAAUUAUGAACCCCAACAACAUCCAUUCAUCCAUUGUUUUCGUUUGUCAAUUGAAUCACCUUUAUUUUGCAUGUUAAUAUUUUUGUUCUCAAAUCCAAUUUAUUAAUUUUUAUUUUCAAGUCUUAUUAUUUUAAUUCAUGUGAACGAGAAAGCCUUUCGAGUCUCUUGGAAAAACGAUACUUGGUCUUACCAUUUAUAUUACUUGUACGAUUUGGUACACUUGCCAAUUUGUCAACAACAUCCUUAUUCGGAGAGCUUCUCUCUACGCCAUCACACUCUUCUCUUUACACCACCACAUUCCUUAUUUACCCCUGCAUUUAAUUUUUUUGUUAGAUAGUCAAAGACAAUGAUUAAAAAGACAACACAUAACCUGAUGGUCAUAACGAAAAUGGAAUAUUCCUUGGAC
rnacentral:lncRNA from 1 species